AUUGAACGCUGGCGGCAUGCUUUACACAUGCAAGUCGAACGGUAACAGGUCUUCGGAUGCUGACGAGUGGCGAACGGGUGAGUAAUGCAUCGGAACGUGCCCAGUCGUGGGGGAUAACGCAGCGAAAGCUGUGCUAAUACCGCAUACGAUCUAUGGAUGAAAGCAGGGGACCGCAAGGCCUUGCGCUCAUGGAGCGGCCGAUGGCAGAUUAGGUAGUUGGUGGGAUAAAAGCUUACCAAGCCGACGAUCUGUAGCUGGUCUGAGAGGACGACCAGCCACACUGGGACUGAGACACGGCCCAGACUCCUACGGGAGGCAGCAGUGGGGGAAUUUUGGACAAUGGGCGAAAGCCUGAUCCAGCCAUGCCGCGUGCAGGAUGAAGGCCUUCGGGUUGUAAACUGCUUUUGUACGGAACGAAAAGACUCUGGGUUAAUACCCUGGGCUAAUGACGGUACCGUAAGAAUAAGCACCGGCUAACUACGUGCC
rnacentral:rRNA from 1 species